rnacentral:rRNA from 1 species
CCUACGGUAGGCAGCAGUGGGGAAUAUUGCGCAAUGGGCGAAAGCCUGACGCAGCGACGCCGCGUGAGGGAUGAAGGUCUUCGGAUCGUAAACCUCUGUCAGCAGGGAAGAACGGUCACUGUGCUAAUCAGCAGUGAAUUGACGGUACCUGCAACGGAAGCACCGACUAACUCCAUGCCAGCAGCCGCGGUAAUACGGAGGGUGCGAGCGUUAAUCGGAAUUACUGGGCGUAAAGCGCUCGUAGGCGGUAUGUCAAGUCAAGGGUGAAAUCCCCGCGCUCAACGUGGGAACUGCCUUUGAAACGGGCAAACUGGAGUGGGUGAGAGGAUAGUGGAAUUCCAGGUGUAGGAGUGAAAUCCGUAGAUAUCUGGAGGAACAUCAGUGGCGAAGGCGACUAUCUGGCACAUAACUGACGCUGAGGAGCGAAAGCGUGGGUAGCAAACAGGAUUAGAUACCCCGGUAGUC